rnacentral:rRNA from 1 species
GAUGAACGCUAGCGGCAGGCUUAACACAUGCAAGUCGAGGGGUAGAAGUUGCUUGCAACUUUGAGACCGGCGCACGGGUGCGUAACGCGUAUGCAAUCUACCUUAUACAGAGGGAUAGCCCAGAGAAAUUUGGAUUAAUACCUCAUAGUAUAAUUGAAUGGCAUCAUUUAAUUAUUAAAGUUCCAACGGUAUAAGAUGAGCAUGCGUCCUAUUAGCUAGAUGGUAAGGUAACGGCUUACCAUGGCAACGAUAGGUAGGGGUCCUGAGAGGGAGAUCCCCCACACUGGUACUGAGACACGGACCAGCCUCCUACGGGAGGCAGCAGUGAGGAAUAUUGGACAAUGGGCGCAAGCCUGAUCCAGCCAUGCCGCGUGCAGGAAGAAGCAUCUAUGGUGUGUAAACUGCUUUUGUACGGGAAGAAACACCCCUUCGUGAAGGGACUUGACGGUACCGUAAGAAUAAGGAUCGGCUAACUCCGUGCCAGCAGCCGCAGUAAUAC